rnacentral:rRNA from 1 species
GACUACAUCCAACCCACCCUUAAUGUGCCGUAUUCUCAUCAGUUUUUGAAGCUAAACAGGGUUGAGCCCUGUUUGUACUUGGACGGAAGACCGCAUGGAACACCGGGUGUUAUAGACG